GAAAAAACAAGUCCAUUUGCAUGACCUUGACCUUUGGCCUUGAACGUAAAAAAUGUCAUAUCAUUACAAGGAGGAACAAUAUACCAAAUGUGGUUAAAAUCUUUUGAAGCAUAUUGGUUUUAGAGUGUACACAAGGGUGAUAUUGCCUUGUAUUACAAGUGCCACUGUGACCUUGACCUUUGAACUUUAAAGUCAAUAGCGCUUAAUAUAUUCUUAACGAGUAACACCAUACCAAGUUUUGAGCAUUUUGGUUCUAGAGAGUCCAUAACAAUUUUAUCUACACGCAACUUACAUGUAGUAGGCGAGGGGAUAAUAAACUAAGUUUUAUAAGAAUUAGACAAAAAGAUCGAUGUCCUGCUAUGCAUGGCAGACUUGUACAGAAACGAUAUGUUUUCGAAAUUCUGUUCGUAUCAUAAAAAAGUUCAAAACAGGUAGAACGCAUUUUUAGAUCGUUUGUACAUUGUACACUUGUAUUAUGUACAUACAUGUACUUACAAUUUAAAACGCGUGAUGCCUUCGGUAUAUAAUUUAAAUGCAUGGUAAGCUAUAC
rnacentral:lncRNA from 1 species